rnacentral:rRNA from 1 species
AGAGCGAACGCUGGCGGCAGGCCUAAUACAUGCAAGUCGAACGGACCCUUCGGGGUUAGUGGCGGACGGGUGAGUAACACGUGGGAACGUGCCCUUUGGUUCGGAACAACUCAGGGAAACUUGAGCUAAUACCGAAUGUGCCCCCAUCCUUAAACAAGAUGGGUGGGAAAGAUUUAUCGCCAUUGGAGCGGCCCGCGUCUGAUUAGCUAGUUGGUGGGGUAAAGGCUCACCAAGGCGACGAUCAGUAGCUGGUCUGAGAGGAUGAUCAGCCACACUGGGACUGAGACACGGCCCAGACUCCUACGGGAGGCAGCAGUAGGGAAUCUUGCGCAAUGGGCGAAAGCCUGACGCAGCCAUGCCGCGUGAAUGAUGAAGGUCUUAGGAUUGUAAAAUUCUUUCAGCGGGACGAUAAUGACGGUACCCGCAGAAGAACGCCCGGCUAACUUCGCGCCAGCAGCCGC